rnacentral:rRNA from 1 species
UAUUGGUCAAUGGACGAAAGCCUGAACCAGCCAAGCCGCGUGCAGGAUGACGGCCCUAUGGGUGGAAAACUGCUUUUAUACGGGGAUAAAGUGAGGUACCGUGUUCCAUAUUUGCACCGGACCAGCCAUCGAAUAAGGACCGGCCUAAUUCCGUG